CUGGUGCCCACUUUCCUGGCCCUGCCUGCCAGUGUUCCUACCUGCAGCCAUCCACUCCAGUUUGCUGUUUGCCACUCAUCUGGCCCCAGAAUUGCUGCCCCGCACUUCCAACUGCUGCCUGCCUGUUUCUGCACCCCAGACCUGUAUGCACGACCCCAGCUGGCUCAUCACCCAGGCUGCUGGUAGCAGACCCAGUUUCUUCAGGAUCAAAAACUGGCUGUGGAUCAUGGCCAGAUAUGAAGAAGAAAUGGAUCUCAUUUUUGGACAAGACAUACACAAGAGCUAUUGCACAGGGCCAAAGAAAAACCAAUCCAGGAUGGAUUGAUGCACUUCCAAGCCAAUGCAAAGGUCUUGAACCUAGUGUGAAGACUCCAGGUUACUAUGUUUAAAAUUUGUUACAACAUAGGCUUUCCUGUGUCCACACUCAUUCUGACAAUACUUACAGAUGAGUAUCCCCAAACCUUGGCCCCUACUUGGCUCCUAUAAUCUGGUCCCUUUUUCUGUCUUUCAUAGUGUGGUACCUUUCUGUAGUACUGUAGUACUGUAGUACUUUCUGUAGGCUACUGACUGGGUAAAUGCAUCAUUGCUUAGAUCAUUUUGAUUGGACCCUGAUUCAAGGACCUGUUAUAGAUUUA
rnacentral:lncRNA from 1 species